rnacentral:lncRNA from 1 species
CCCUGGGGACAGGUGACAAUGGCAGGUGCCACCUCAGGUGUGCCCAGGUGCCACCAGGUGUGCCCAGGUGCCACCAGACCUGUCCAGGUGCCACCAGGUGUGCCCAGGUGCCACCAGGUGUGUCCAGGUACCACCAAACCUGUCCAGGUGCCACCAGGUGUGCCCAGGUGCCACCAAACCUGUCCAGGUGCCACCAGGUGUGUGCCCAAGUGCCACCUCAGGUGUGUCCAGGUGCCACCAAACCUGUCCAGGUGCCACCUCAGGUGUGUCCAGGUGCCACCAGGUGUGCCCAGGUGCCACCAGGUGAGUUCCCAGCUGUUCCCAGGUGCCACCAGGUGUGUCCAGGUGCCACCAGGUGUGUCCAGCUGUCUCCAG